UACGUAGGGUGCGAGCGUUGUCCGGAAUUAUUGGGCGUAAAGAGCUCGUAGGCGGUCUGUCGCGUCCGUUGUGAAAACUCGAGGCUCAACCUCGGGCUUGCAGUGGAUACGGGCAGACUAGAGUGCGGUAGGGGAGACUGGAAUUCCUGGUGUAGCGGUGAAAUGACGCAGACUAGUCAGGAGGAACACCGGUGGCGAAGGCGGGUCUCUGGGCCGAUACUGACGC
rnacentral:rRNA from 1 species